rnacentral:rRNA from 1 species
GAUGAACGCUGGCGGCGUGCCUAAUACAUGCAAGUCGAGCGAACAGACGAGGAGCUUGCUCCUCUGACGUUAGCGGCGGACGGGUGAGUAACACGUGGAUAACCUACCUAUAAGACUGGGAUAACUUCGGGAAACCGGAGCUAAUACCAGAUAAUAUAUUGAACCGCAUGGUUCAAUAGUGAAAGACGGUUUUGCUGUCACUUAUAGAUGAAUCCGCGCCGCAUUAGCUAGUUGGUAAGGUAACGGCUUACCAAGGCAACGAUGCGUAGCCGACCUGAGAGGGUGAUCGGCCACACUGGAACUGAGACACGGUCCAGACUCCUACGGGAGGCAGCAGUAGGGAAUAUUCCGCAAUGGGCGAAAGCCUGACGGAGCAACGCCGCGUGAGUGAUGAAGGUCUUCGGAUCGUAAAGCUCUGUUAUUAGGGAAGAACAAAUGUGUAAGUAACCAUGCACGUCUUGACGGUACCCAAACAGAAAGCCACGGCUAACUACGUG